UGCAGUCGAGCGAGACCUUCGGGUCUAGCGGCGGACGGGUGAGUAACGCGUGGGAACGUGCCCUUUGCUACGGAAUAGUCCCGGGAAACUGGGUUUAAUACCGUAUGUGCCCUUCGGGGGAAAGAUUUAUCGGCAAAGGAUCGGCCCGCGUUGGAUUAGGUAGUUGGUGGGGUAAUGGCCUACCAAGCCGACGAUCCAUAGCUGGUUUGAGAGGAUGAUCAGCCACACUGGGACUGAGACACGGCCCAGACUCCUACGGGAGGCAGCAGUGGGGAAUCUUAGACAAUGGGGGCAACCCUGAUCUAACCGUGCCGCGUGAGUGAUGAAGGCCUUAGGGUUGUAAAGCUCUUUCAGCUGGGAAGAUAAUGACGGUACCAGCAGAAGAAGCCCCGGCUAACUCCGUGCCAGCAGCCGCGGUAAUACGGAGGGGGCUAGCGUUGUUCGGAAUUACUGGGCGUAAAGCGCACGUAGGCGGACUGGAAAGUUGGGGGUGAAAUCCCGG
rnacentral:rRNA from 1 species